rnacentral:rRNA from 1 species
AGAGUUUGAUCCUGGCUCAGAUUGAACGCUGGCGGCAUGCUUUACACAUGCAAGUCGAACGGUAACAGGGAGCUUGCUCCGCUGACGAGUGGCGAACGGGUGAGUAAUAUAUCGGAACGUACCCAAGAGUGGGGGAUAACGUAGCGAAAGUUACGCUAAUACCGCAUACGAUCUAAGGAUGAAAGCAGGGGACCGCAAGGCCUUGUGCUCCUGGAGCGGCCGAUAUCUGAUUAGCUAGUUGGUAGGGUAAAGGCCUACCAAGGCAUCGAUCAGUAGCUGGUCUGAGAGGACGACCAGCCACACUGGAACUGAGACACGGUCCAGACUCCUACGGGAGGCAGCAGUGGGGAAUUUUGGACAAUGGGCGCAAGCCUGAUCCAGCAAUGCCGCGUGAGUGAAGAAGGCCUUCGGGUUGUAAAGCUCUUUUGUCAGGGAAGAAACGGGUGAGGCUAAUAUCCUCAUCUAAUGACGGUACCUGAAGAAUAAGCACCGGCUAACUACGUGCCAGCAGCCGCGGUAAUACGGAGGGUGCGAGCGUUGUCCGGAUUUAUUGGGUUUAAAGGGUGCGUAGGCGGUUUAUUAAGUCAGUGGUGAAAGACGGUCGCUCAACGAUUGCAGUGCCAUUGAUACUGGUAGACUUGAGUAUGAUUGAGGUAGCUGGAAUGGAUAGUGUAGCGGUGAAAUGCAUAGAUAUUAUCCAGAACACCAAUUGCGAAGGCAGGUUACUAAUUCGAUACUGACGCUGAUGCACGAAAGUGUGGGGAUCAAACAGGAUUAGAUACCCUGGUAGUCCACGCCGUAAACGAUGUCAACUAGCCGUUGGGAGCCUUGAGCUCUUAGUGGCGCAGCUAACGCAUUAAGUUGACCGCCUGGGGAGUACGGCCGCAAGGUUAAAACUCAAAUGAAUUGACGGGGGCCCGCACAAGCGGUGGAGCAUGUGGUUUAAUUCGAAGCAACGCGAAGAACCUUACCAGGCCUUGACAUCCAAUGAACUUUCUAGAGAUAGAUUGGUGCCUUCGGGAACAUUGAGACAGGUGCUGCAUGGCUGUCGUCAGCUCGUGUCGUGAGAUGUUGGGUUAAGUCCCGCAACGAGCGCAACCCUCGCCCUUAGUUGCCAGCAUUAAGUUGGGCACUCUAAGGGGACUGCCGGUGAUAAGCCGAGAGGAAGGUGGGGAUGACGUCAAGUC